AACGAACGCUGGCGGCAGGCUUAACACAUGCAAGUCGAGCGCAUCCUUCGGGGUGAGCGGCAGACGGGUGAGUAACGCGUGGGAACGUACCCUUUCCUACGGAAUAGCUCCGGGAAACUGGAAUUAAUACCGUAUACGCCCAUAGGGGGAAAGAUUUAGCGGGUAAGGAUAGGCCCGCGUUGGAUUAGCUAGUUGGUGGGGUAAAGGCCUACCAAGGCGACGAUCCAUAGCGGGUCUGAGAGGAUGAUCAGCCACAUUGGGACUGAGACACGGCCCAACCUCCUACGGGAGGCAGCAGUGGGGAAUAUUGGACAAUGGGCGCAAGCCUGAUCCAGCCAUGCCGCGUGAGUGAUGAAGGCCUUAGGGUUGUAAAGCUCUUUCAGUAGGGAAGAUAAUGACGGUACCUACAGCAGAAGCCCCGGCUAACUUCGUGCCAGCAGCCGCCGUAA
rnacentral:rRNA from 1 species